GGGAGUUGCUGGGAGUAGAAAUGGUGGGGAAGCAGGUAUGAUGUGAUGUUAAUUUGGUGUAGUCAGCAGGAUGUCCUCAGAGUUAGAAGGUCCAGAGGUUACCUCUCAGCUGUACACCAGGAUGUCUGUAAGACGGGAGAGUAUGUACCUCUGUGAACAACUGCUUUCAAGGAUGAAGUACAGGAAGAGCAGAAUAUCAUCGAAAAUCUGACGAACACCUCAAGAACUCACUAAGACUUGCAACCACUCCCAGUGAACCAGACUGAUGUCCUUGUUUUUCUGAAACUAAUACAAAU